rnacentral:rRNA from 1 species
UUCCGUAGGUGAACCUGCGGAGGGAUCAUUACCGAGUUUACAACUCCCAAACCCCAUGUGAACAUACCUGUUUCGUUCCCUCGGCGGUGUCCGGCAACGGCCCGCCAGAGGACCCAACAAACUCUUUUGAAUUUUUCAGUAUCUUCUGAGUAAAAAAAACAAUAAAUCAAAACUUUCAACAACGGAUCUCUUGGUUCUGGCAUCGAUGAAGAACGCAGCGAAAUGCGAUAAGUAAUGUGAAUUGCAGAAUUCAGUGAAUCAUCGAAUCUUUGAACGCACAUUGCGCCCGCCAGUAUUCUGGCGGGCAUGCCUGUUCGAGCGUCAUUUCAACCCUCAAGCUCUGCUUGGUGUUGGGGAUCGGCAAGGCGUCCUCCGGGUCGCGCCGUCCCCCAAAUAUAGUGGCGGUCUCGCUGUAGCUUCCUCUGCGUAGUAAUACACCUCGCUCUGGAGUCUCGGUGCGACCACGCCGUAAAACCCCCAACUUUUUUCUGGUUGACCUCGAAUCAGGUAGGACUACCCGCUGAACUUAAGCAUAUCAAUAAGCGGAGGAAA